ACAUUGGUGGUUCUGUGGUAGAAUUCUUGUCUUCCAUGCCAGAGAUCGAGGUUCGAUUCCCAGCCAAUGCA
rnacentral:tRNA from 1 species